CCUCUCCACCUCCAAGCCCCUGCUUCCGCACGUCAUUCUUCUCCCGUCCUCGCGUCGUCGGUCUGGAGGCUAGAGCUCGCGGCCGACUCCCCCGUUCGCCAUUUGCCACGCCUUCAGAUCUGAACUCGCCCGCGAUGACGGUGAUUGGUGGAUGAGAGCCGAGUCCUGAACGGGAAGCAGCGCCCGUCCCUGUCCCACUGCCGUUGGAGAUGCAAGGAUUGCAUCGGCCAUGCCGCAGCAGCUCGGUGGCUGCCACUGCUUCACAUCCCCAUCGAGUCGGCGAGUCGCCCUCUGUCGGGCCCAUGGAAUCGGCUCCCACGACUACAAGUUCUUCCUCGGCCUAUUGUAAACCAUGGUUCUUCUCAAGCGCGGGCUAAGGUGGCACCAUGGCUCAUGCCAAGGAGGCGGCAGCGACCUGCAAACCCUGCAAGCAGCAGUAACACGACAUGUCUCCAUCCAUCCAUUCCUUCCUAUACGCCCUGAGAAUUUUGACUGCCUUUUUUCUAGUAUCCAGGCUGGUAUUUCUCCAGGGCGUAGCUGGACUCCCCUCCCAGGAUCUCACUCCACCACGGGGCCUUCCUGCUGCGAGUCUCUCUGGACGGGAGCUACAACGCCCGUCUCCAUCUCACCUUAGUCAAGAUAUGUAUAGAACUUGGAAAGGACUUGCGAGCUGGGAGAAUUUGGGAAAGGACGUUGGGAAGAUAACCAGGUUUUCAGUUGUGGAGGAACAUGACAAUUUGAACCAACUAAGAUGCAAGGGCAUGCUUCACAUGGAUUCAUACACAAUAAAAUUUGGGAAUAAAUGGUUUUACCUGCCGAUGGCAUCAGAGGAGCAGCUGCAAGCGCCGAGUGAGUAAUUUUCCUUUUGCUCGCAUGUGUCAUGUGGUCACUUGAAACGGAGUACUAGCUCUGCUUGCAAGUGUUAGAACUUCAGGUUUUUGGCUGAACAUUCAAUUGUGGCCCAAUUUUAUUGAUCCUCAUGAUUUGGAGAUCCAGUCUGCCUUGUCAGUUUGGAAUCAUAAGAUGCAUGCACGCUGCAACCUUCCUGCUUAUCAAUUCCUCAUGGUCAGCUCUUCUGAACAUAUUCCUCAUGAUAGAAAUGGCUGGUAUACAUGCCGGCGCGCCCAUCCGUGUGUUCAAGACUGGCUGAUUCACACCAUGGCUGGUAUACAUGCUGGGAUGCCUCUCCCUUCUGAAUCAUAAUUUCAUGAAAUGUUGUCAAAUGCAAAUAGUCAGUGUAUAUUAUUUGGCUAUUUAAUUUUCACACACAUUUUCUUAUUGAUCUAUCCAGUCAUAAGAGCAGGUAUAUUUGUAUGAGCAUCAGAUUGUACUAACAUUUAUGGAAGGGACAAUGUUUUAAAUUUCUCAAGAAAUUAAUUUUUAUGCAUAGGCCAUUGAAAUAGUACCAUGAUCUGAAUUUUUAUUAGCAAUCACAUGUUAUACCUUGAUGCAAGUUUGGGAGGGUUGAAGCUAUUGGAUCUAGACGAGCUCCUCAUGUUCCAGAUUGCCAUGGAUAAAUUGUUCCAUGUAUUCGUGCAGAUGUGUACACACAAGCUGACCAAACACAAGCUAACCAAAAAGAGCAAAAAAGGGGUGCACACAACAUGUCCGCUGGUUAAUAACAAGUCAAGAGGGGGCUAUCCAAGGACGAGAAAGCUGGGAAGCUCGCAUUGCAGCUUUGGCUUAAGCUAUGAGCACUUUUUCGUCAGAGAAACUGUAGUUUGAUGUUUUGGCCAAGCAAUGGGCUGUUGUACCACAAUGGUGUUCCUAAUUGUUCGCUCUUCCAUAUAGAAGCUCUGAAACAAAAUGAGAUGGCCUGAAAUUAAGGGUAAUGCUUUUGAUAUCUUGAGAAAACAUAUUCAUGGAAUAUAAGUAGAAGGUAGACUGUAGACUGAUCAUUACUAUCUUGUACUCCUCCGGCCUUUUUUACUCUGCAUAUAAGGAUUGU